rnacentral:rRNA from 1 species
CCCUUAGAUGUCCGGGGCUGCACGCGCGCUACACUGAAGGAAUCAGCGUGCUAAAACCAUUGUCGAAAGGCAUUGGUAAACCCAUUAAAAUCCUACGUGAUUGGGAUCGGGAAUUGCAAUUAUUUCCCUUGAACGAGGAAUUCCCAGUAAGUGUGGGUCAUAAGCUCGCGUUGAUUACGUUCCUGCCCUUUGUACACACCGCCCGUCGCUGCCCGGGACUGAGCCGUUUCGAGAAAAGCGGGGACUGCUGCUGUCGGGGCUUUCGGGCCUUGGCUUCGGUGGAAACCGCUUUAAUCGCAGUGGCUUGAACCGGGCAAAAGUCGUAACA